UUUCCGUAGGUGAACCUGCGGAAGGAUCAUUAGUGAAUUGAAGAUGUUAGCGGACCGUUUCGGAGUCGCGAGCACCAAAUCACAUCCAUAACCCCUGUGAACUGUAAGUCUGCCUUGUAAACGAAAGUGAUUAGAGCGCCCGCCCACUUUAUAGAAACAUUAAUGAAACAAACGUAGACUUAUUUUAAUCUAAUAAAACUUUCAAUAACGGAUUUCCUGGCUCUCGCAUCGUUGAAGUACGAAGAAGAUAUGAAGAGCAUACGUCUGAAAUCCAGACAC
rnacentral:misc_RNA from 1 species